AUUGAACGCUGGCGGCAUGCCUAACACAUGCAAGUCGCACGCGAAAGGGGGCAACCCCGAGUAGAGUGGCGGACGGGUGAGAAACGCGUAGGAAUCUACCUGGUAGUGGGGGACAACCCGGUGAAAACCGGGCUAAUACCGCAUACGAUCCACGGAUGAAAGCAGGGGACCGCAAGGCCUUGCGCUAUCAGAUGAGCCUGCGUCGGAUUAGCUAGUUGGUGAGGUAACGGCUCACCAAGGCAACGAUCCGUAGCUGGUUUGAGAGAACGACCAGCCACACUGGGACUGAGACACGGCCCAGACUCCUACGGGAGGCAGCAGUGGGGAAUAUUGGACAAUGGGGGCAACCCUGAUCCAGCAAUGCCGCGUGUGUGAAGAAGGCCUUCGGGUUGUAAAGCACUUUCGAUGGGGAAAAACAAAUCAGACCUAACACGUCUGGUCCUGAUGGUACCCAGAGAAGAAGCACCGGCUAACUCUGUGCCAGCAGCCGCGGUAAUACAGAGGGUGCAAGCGUUAAUCGGAAUUACUGGGCGUAAAGGGUGCGUAGGUGGUUUGUUAAGUCAGGCGUGAAAUCCCUGGGCUCAACCUGGGAACUGCGUUUGAUACUGGCAGACUCGAGUCUGGUAGAGGGUAGUGGAAUUCCGCAUGUAGCGGUGAAAUGCGUAGAGAUGCGGAGGAACACCAGUGGCGAAGGCGGCUACCUGGACCAAGACUGACACUGAGGCACGAAAGCGUGGGGAUCAAACAGGAUUAGAUACCCUGGUAGUCCACGCCCUAAACGAUGGGUACUAGACGUUGGGGGGUUUAUCUUCCUAGUGUCGCAGCUAACGCAAUAAGUACCCCGCCUGGGGAGUACGGUCGCAAGAUUA
rnacentral:rRNA from 1 species